rnacentral:rRNA from 1 species
GUGAAAAGGCUAUCAAUUCUAAAGAUAUCUGGUUUAAUUUUAAAUGCAUUUAGUGCAGAAUAGUUUUUGAAAAAUAAAAUGUUAAGAUUUUAUUUUAUUUAAAGAAUAUUAAUAUUCACUAUUUUUAUGGGUUAACCUUCCAAUGGUUUAUAACAAUAAAAAUUAUUAAUUUUUAAUAUCUUAAUAAUAAAAUUAUAUUUAUUAUAAUCACUUAAAACCUCAAAAAUGUUAAAAUAAGUAUUCUCUUUUAUUUCUUAUUAAGGAACUCGGCUAAACAUUAUUCAUCUGUUUAUCAAAAACAUAGUCUUAUGAAUAUAUAUAAGGUAGUACCUGCCCACUGAUAUUAUUAAAUGGCCGCAGUACUUUAACUGUGCUAAGGUAGCAUAAUAAAUUGACUUUUAAUUGGGGCCUUGAAUGAAAGGAUAGUUGGAUAAAUUCUGUCUUAAUAAAAGUAAUUAAAAUUUACUAAAAAGGUGAAAAUUCCUUUAAUAACAUAUAAUAGACGAGAAGACCCUAGGAGUUUAAAAAAAUUUUUUUUUGCUGUGGCGGCAGUAUAACAUAAAACUUAUAUUGACUUAUAUUAUAUAUAACAAAUUAUAUUUAAAAUAAUUCUAACUACC